rnacentral:rRNA from 1 species
GGCAAGGCGGCGACGCGGAGGGGGACGGGCAUGCGUGCCAUUAGCUGGUUGGCGGGGCGACGGCCCACCAAGGCUACGAUGGCUAGGGGAUCUGAGAGGACGGUCCCCCACACUGGUACUGAGACACGGACCAGACUCCUGCGGGAGGCAGCAGUAAGGGAUAUUGGUCAAUGGGGGGAACCCUGAACCAGCCAUGCCGCGUGAGGGAAUGAGGCCCUACGGGUCGUGAACCUCUUUUAUCUGGGGACAAUACGGGGCACGAGAUGCCCCGUUGAGGGUACCAGAGGAAUAAGCAUCGGCUAACUCCGUGCCAGCAGCCGCGGUAAUACGGAGGAUGCGAGCGUUAUCCGGAUUCAUUGGGUUUAAAGGGUGCGCAGGCGGCUCGUCAAGUCAGCGGUGAAAGCCCGGGGCCCAACCCCGGAAGUGCCGUUGAUACUGUCGGGCUGGAAUGCGGUCGAGGCGGGCGGAACGUGGCGUGUAGCGGUGAAAUGCGUAGAUAUGCCACAGAACGCCGAUAGCGAAGGCAGCUCGCCAGGCCUGCAUUGACGCUCGGGCACGAAAGCGUGGGGAUCGAACAGGA